AUGCCUUAUGGUAAAUAUAUUUUAAUUUCAUCAUAACUACCUUAAAAAAUAAUCAAAAAGGAGUUAUGAUAUAAU
rnacentral:sRNA from 1 species